CGUAUCCUCUGUGACUGACUGGUUUGAGCUGCUCUGGGAUAGAAAAGGCUGAGACAAGCUGAAGGCCUUGGCUGCUUUAGCCCUUGAUCUGGUCAUUGGUUUGCUUAGGGCCCGAUAGCCCUCCAUGAAGACCUCUGCAACAUCUUACGUCUCCUUUUCCCCAAGCCCUCCUUGGCAGGUACUAGAAGGCUCAAUGAGAUUUCCUGUGGUUUAUGACCCAAGUUGACAACUGUGACUUCUUUGUGGCGUUCUGAUGGUUAUGUCAUAUAAGAAUCACCUUAUAUCAUUUGAGAAGCUGCUGACACAGAGCACCGGUUUGAUGGAUGACCUGAGUUGCUGCUAUUCCCUCAGAGGCCUUGAUGAAAUAGACUUCUCUGUAUGGAGUGAAGUGCCACUUGUCAGUGGAAAUAGUGUCAAUUCUGCUUGCUAAAGAAGAUAUAAGAAGCCAAAAGUGGGAGGUAGGUAGAAAUAAAAAGGCAAACAAACAAACA
rnacentral:lncRNA from 1 species